AAGGAUUUAAGUUAACAAAAACUAUUAGCCUUCAAAGCUAAAAAUAUACAAAUUUUAAACCUU
rnacentral:tRNA from 1 species